UACAGAGGUCUCAAGCGUUGUUCGGAUUCAUUGGGCGUAAAGGGUGCGUAGGUGGCGCCGUAAGUCAGGUGUGAAAUUUCGGAGCUUAACUCCGAAACUGCAUUUGAUACUGCGGUGCUUGAGGACUGGAGAGGAGACUGGAAUUCACGGUGUAGCAGUGAAAUGCGUAGAUAUCUGGAGGAACACCGGUGGCGAAGGCGGCAUCCUGGACCGGUAUUGACGCUGAGGCGCGAAAGCUAGGGGAGCAAACGGG
rnacentral:rRNA from 1 species